AGCUCCAAUAGCGUAUAUUCAAGUUGUUGCAGUUAAAAAGCUCGUAGUUGAAUUUCAGAUUUGGUUAAGUGGUUUAGUCGCAAGAUUAACACUGCUUUGACUGGGUCUUUCCUUCUAGGGAACCAAGUUUGCUCUUUCUUGAGUGCCUUGGGGAUCUAGGACUGUUACUUUGAAAAAAUUAGAGUGUUUAAAACAGGCUUAUGCUUGAAUACAUUAGCAUGGAAUAACGGAAUAGGACUUUGUUUCUAUUUUGUUGGUUUUCAGAAACGAGGUAAUGAUUAAUAGGGAUAGUUGGGGACAUUAGUAUUCCAUAGUCAGAGGUGAAAUUCUUGGAUUUAUGAAAGACUAACUUCUGCGAAAGCAUUUGUCAAGGAUGUUUUCAUUA
rnacentral:rRNA from 1 species